AUUGAACGCUGGCGGCAGGCCUAACACAUGCAAGUCGAACGAGUGGCGGACGGGUGAGUAAUGUCGGGGAAACUGCCUGAUGGAGGGGGAUAAAUACUGGCAACGGUAGCUAAUACCGCAUACCAUCAGAUGUGCCCAGAUGGGAUUAGCUUGUUGGUGGGGUAACGGCUAAACAGGGCGACGAUCCCGAGCUGGUCUGAGAGGAUGACCAGCCACCUUGGAACUGAGACACGGUCCAGACGCCUACGGGAGGCAGCAGUGGGGAAUAUUGCACAAGGGGCGCAAGCCUGAUCCAGCCAUGCCGCGUGUAGGAAGAAGGCCUUCGGGUUGUAAAGUACUUUCAGCGGGGAGGCGUUACCCGCAGAAGAAGCACCGGCUAACUCCGUGCCAGCAGCCGCGGUAAUAC
rnacentral:rRNA from 1 species